AAAAUGUUAGUGUUGUACUUGAGUAUCGUGGUAGUGUUGUGGUCCAUUGUGGGUGCUGAAGAUGAUUAUAGGCUCUGUUUCACGGAUAGGGACUGUGAAUAUGGUACCUGUCGACAGGGAUACUGUACCUUAGACACUGUGACAAGCUGUGGACUGUUUCGACCCUGCCCAAAUGGACAAGUAUGUAGUAGAGGAAGAUGCAUAGAUGGUGAGUA